GCAAACCCGCUGAACUUAAGCAUAUCAAUAAGCGGAGGA
rnacentral:rRNA from 1 species